UUUUUAUUACAGACAGAAGGAUUUCAACCUUAAAUUUCCAUUAGGUCUCGAUGUGAGGUCAAAGGCAUUGCUAAUGGCAUCCAUUUUUGUAAUUGAUGCAGUCUUCUAUCCACAACAUCAAAUGGUACAGCAGAGGAGGAGGGGAAGAAGAAUGUGAAGGAAAACAUUGGAAAUUCCAGACUAUAUAUUUUGUAACGUUUAAUCCGUUUCUAGAAACACUGCCCAGCAAUGAUGCAGGGCAUCAUGUGUUUUUAUUCAACAAUUUCUUGUUGAGGAAUGAAUCGUUUAUAUUUGAGUGAAUGGACAUAUGAAAUUAGAUGUCGCGUAAAUUCAUCUCAGAGAAAAAAAUGAAAAAAGAUCAAUUAUAUAACAAGUCAAAAAUUCUUGUCGUUCACUCCUUUUCUAUUCGU